GGUGAUACCAGAUCUGGUUCCAGUGAGGAGAGGGUCCUGCCCACUGUCAGAUGCUGUUGACUGAGAGCACCAGGGAUCUGCCGGCCCUCUCAGAUGGCUACCAUAGCCACAGACCGAAGUCCUCUGAAGAACAGCGGGCACAAGUCCCACUUUGGAAUGAGCCUCUCAUCUUGCCUGGCCCUGCAAUUCACUCGUGCGGAAGGGACCGCUCUAAAGACACUUGGGAGAAGUGAGCUUUACACCAAGUCAACCC